rnacentral:rRNA from 1 species
UAAGGAAUUUUGGACAAUGGACGAAAGUCUGAUCCAGCCAUUCCGCGUGCAGGAUGAAGGCCCUCGGGUUGUAAACUGCUUUUGUACGGAACGAAAAGGUCUCUCCUAAUACGAGAGGCUCAUGACGGUACCGUAAGAAUAAGCACCGGCUAACUACGUGCCAGCAGCCGCGGUAAGACGUAGGAUGCAAGCGUUGUCCGGAUUUAUUGGGCGUAAAGAGUUCGUAGGCGGUUUGUUAAGUCUGAUGUUAAAGAUCGGGGCCCAACCCCGGGACUGCAUCGGAUACUGGCAGACUGGAGUGUGGUAGAGGUAAGUGGAAUUUCUGGUGUAGCGGUGAAAUGCGUAGAUAUCAGGAGGAACACCAAUGGCGAAGGCAGGUCUCUGGGCCAAUACUGACACUGAGGAGCGAGAGCGUGGGGAGCGAACAGG